GUUGAACGCUGGCGGCAGGCCUAACACAUGCAAGUCGAGCGCGUGGCGGACGGGUGAAUCAUGUCUGGAACCCUGCCUUAUGGAGGGGGAUAACUACUGGAAACGGUAGCUAAUACCGCAUACCUUCAGAUUUUCCCAGAUGGGAUGAGCUGGUUGGUGGGGUAACGGCUUACCAAGGCGACGAUCCCUAGCUGGUCUGAGAGGAUGACCAGCCACACUGGAACUGAGACACGGUCCAGACUCCUACGGGAGGCAGCAGUGGGGAAUAUUGCACAAUGGGCGCAAGCCUGAUGCAGCAAUGCCGCGUGAAUGAAGAAGGUCUUCGGGUUGUAAAGUACUUUCAGCGGGGAGGCGGUACCUGAAGAAGAAGCACCGGCUAACUACGUGCCAGCAGCCGCGGUAAUUC
rnacentral:rRNA from 1 species